rnacentral:misc_RNA from 1 species
AAGUCGUAACAAGGUAACCGUAGGUGAACCUGCGGUUGGAUCAUUACUGAAUUUGCGGUUCUCUUUUUUGAGAACCGUUUCAACCUCUGUGCUAUUGUGUUUGUUUCUGGGUGCCUUUGGUACCCAAAAUAUUUUAAAAACCAUUUUAUUUUAUUGUCUGAUCUUUUUUAUUAUAAAAAAAAAACAACUUUUGACAACGGAUCUCUUGGCUCUC